UAGGGAAUCUUCGGCAAUGGACGGAAGUCUGACCGAGCAACGCCGCGUGAGUGAAGAAGGUUUUCGGAUCGUAAAGCUCUGUUGUAAGAGAAGAACGAGUGUGAGAGUGGAAAGUUCACACUGUGACGGUAUCUUACCAGAAAGGGACAGCUAACUACGUGCCAGCAGCCGCGGUAAUACGUAGGUCCCGAGCGUUGUCCGGAUUUAUUGGGCGUAAAGCGAGCGCAGGCGGUUAGAUAAGUCUGAAGUUAAAGGCUGUGGCUUAACCAUAGUAGGCUUUGGAAACUGUUUAACUUGAGUGCAAGAGGGGAGAGUGGAAUUCCAUGUGUAGCGGUGAAAUGCGUAGAUAUAUGGAGGAACACCGGUGGCGAAAGCGGCUCUCUGGCUUGUAACUGACGCUGAGGCUCGAAAGCGUGGGGAGCAAACAGGAUUAGAUACCCUGGUAGUCCACGCUGUAAACGAUGAGUGCUAGGUGUUAGACCCUUUCCGGGGUUUAGUGCCGUAGCUAACGCAUUAAGCACUCCGCCUGGGGAGUACGACCGCAAGGUUG
rnacentral:rRNA from 1 species